UACGUAGGGUGCGAGCGUUGUCCGGAAUUAUUGGGCGUAAAGAGCUCGUAGGCGGUUUGUCACGUCGGAUGUGAAACCCCGGGGCUUAACUCCGGGCCUGCAUUCGAUACGGGCUGACUAGAGUUCGGCAGGGGAGACUGGAAUUCCUGGUGUAGCGGUGAAAUGCGCAGAUAUCAGGAGGAACACCGGUGGCGAAGGCGGAUCUCUGGGCCUGUUCUGACGCUGAGGCGCGAAAGCUAGGGGAGCGAACAGG
rnacentral:rRNA from 1 species